rnacentral:rRNA from 2 species
UUCCGGUUGAUCCUGCCGGACCUGACUGCUAUCGGAUUGAUWCUAGGCCAUGCGAGUCAUUGUAGCAAUACAAGGCAUACGGCUCAGUAACGCGUAGUCAACCUACCCUAUGGACGGAAAUAACCUCGGGAAACUGAGAAUAAUAUCCGAUAGAACAUUAUGCCUGGAAUGGUUUAUGUUCCAAAUGAUUUAUCGCCGUAGGAUGGGACUGCGGCCUAUCAGUUUGUUGGUGAGGUAAUGGCCCACCAAGACUAUUACAGGUACGGGCUCUGAGAGGAGUAGCCCGGAGAUGUGUACUGAGACACGGACCCAGGCCCUAUGGGGCGCAGCAGGCGAGAAAACUUUGCAAUGUGCGAAAGCACGACAAGGUUAAUCCGAGUGAUUUCUGCUAAAGAAAUCUUUUGUUAGUCCUAGAAACACUAACGAAUAAGGGGUGGGCAAGUUCUGGUGUCAGCCGCCGCGGUAAAACCAGCACCUCAAGUGGUCAGGAUGAUUAUUGGGCCUAAAGCAUCCGUAGCCGGCUCUGUAAGUCCUCGGUUAAAUCUGUACGCUUAACGUACAGGCUGCCGGGAAUACUGCAUAGCUAGGGAGUGGGAGAGGUAGACGGUACUCGGUAGGAAGGGGUAAAAUCCUUUGAUCUAUUGAUGACCACCUGUGGCGAAGGCGGUCUACCAGAACACGUCCGACGGUGAGGGAUGAAAGCUGGGGGAGCAAACCGGAUUAGAUACCCGGGUAGUCCCAGCUGUAAACUAUGCAAACUCAGUGAUGCAUUGGCUUGUGGCCAAUGCAGUGCUGCAGGGAAGCCGUUAAGUUUGCCGCCUGGGAAGUACGUACGCAAGUAUGAAACUUAAAGGAAUUGGCGGGGGAGCACCACAAGGGGUGAAGCCUGCGGUUCAAUUGGAGUCAACGCCGG